CACCAUGAGGAAUCCAUUCUGAUGGGGGUAGUGGUGUCCACAUCCAGUGCCUGCGAUGUACAGAGCUGCAGUUUCCACACUUCGCAGUCGUGACUUUUCUAUGUCAGGAAUUUGGGAGCUGCUUGGCUGGGCAGCAAUUCUGGCUCAAGGUCUUUCAUGCGAUUGCAGUCAAGAUGUCUACCAGGGCUACAGUCAUCUGAAGGCUUGGCUGGGGCUGGAGGAUCUGCUUCCAAGGGCGAAAAUGAAUUCAUAGAAAUGGGAAUGGUAUAACAAUUCACUCCUAUCAAAGCAUUACAACAUAGUUCUUUUGAGGAUAUUUUCCUGACAAAACAAUAUAUUACCUAUGAUCAAGUAUAGCUCUUCUCCCUGCAGCAAAUUCACAGUUAAUCAAGCAAGUUCUUAGUAACUGUCCACCUUUGAUAAUUUAAGGACUCCCCUACCUUGAGGCAUGGUAUAAACUAGAUGUUCUCUCAAGUUCUUUUUGACGCUGCACGUAUACCUAUAUCUGUAUGAACAUUUAUUCAUUUAUGUUAAAUUAUAUGUAACUAUAUAGCAUAUUUU
rnacentral:lncRNA from 1 species